rnacentral:lncRNA from 7 species
CCCACUCAGACACUUGGAGCAACAGCUCCGUCCUGGUGGUCACUGCUGGAGCUCUGCUGUGGGUCACAGCCAUUUGUGUGUAGAGAUUGUUCUUUGGGAGAGAACAGGAUGAAGCUCAGCCUGACUCUCUUCCUGGCCAUGGCUCUGAGCAUGUCUCCAUUUGCGGGACGUGGCCCAGGCUGUCCCAGCUAUCUCAGCUGGGUCUGCAGUUGCGACCAAAAGGUCGUUCCUGAGGAGCAGCAUCGGGUGGCGACCAAGAGCCAGACCUCCACCCGGCGCUGCUGGCUAGGCCUAACCUCCUGUCCAUCAGGGUGAGGACAAGAACAACAGUGAGAUCCUUCCUGAAGAGCAACCUGUGGAGGAGACCAAGAGCCAGACCUCCACCUGGCGCUGCUGGUUUGGCUUAACCUCCUGCCCCAUCAGGACCAAGGACACAAACACAAACCUUCCUGAGGAGCAGCAUACGGAGAAAACCAAGAGCCAAACCUCAUACUGGUCCUGCUUGCUUGGCUCUUCCGUGUCCAUAUGGGUCUGGUACAAGGGCAGCAAAGUGCUGUUCCACAAGGCCCAAAGCAGCAGUCCCCAGGCACCAAGCAGAAGGCCUACAGCUUGCCUGGCAUCCUGGGCCACCUUUGGGACUACCUUAUGCAAAGAGGGAGAACCUGGCUCCUUACAGCUCCCUUGACAAUUUUCUCCAUUCUCUGGCUGCUGACAACUGCCCGUGCCCACUGGAGAAGAUUAAGAAGACCUCGGGGACAGAGAACGGGACAAGCGGACCCAGCUUCCUUAGGAACAGAGGAAACGGACAACCUAAAUGCUCUUGACCUGCUCUGCCAGAUGGACGCCUACAUAACCUUAAUGGAGAGACUUAUGACGAUCCUCAUGCAGCACCAUGUGAAAAAUGUCAGGAGCCAGCAGUGCAGGAAGACAGCGCACAGCACGGGGGACAGGAAGAGCCUCUCCACAGACUCCUGAGGGAGCUGGCAGAGGUGACUGCCAAGCCGCUCUCGGCCAUCUACCAGCCCUCCUGAUUAACUGGAGAGGUCAACAAGGCCAAGUGGCGGGUCCUGC